rnacentral:rRNA from 1 species
UACGAAGGGGGCUAGCGUUGUUCGGAAUUACUGGGCGUAAAGCGCACGUAGGCGGAUACUUAAGUCAGGGGGUGAAAUCCCCGGGGGCUCAACCCCCGGAACUGCCUUUGAUACUGGGUAUCUCGAGUCCGGAAGAGGUGAGUGGAAUUCCGAGUGUAGAGGUGAAAUUCGUAGAUAUUCGGAGGAACACCAGUGGCGAAGGCGGCUCACUGGUCCGGUACUGACGCUGAGGUGCGAAAGCGUGGGGAGCAAACAGG